rnacentral:tRNA from 1 species
UCCGCUGUGCGCUGCUGGUUGCGCGGCCAGACUUUGAAUCUGGCGGACGCAGGUUCGAAUCCUGCCGGCGGAG